rnacentral:rRNA from 1 species
GUUGAGCGUGCGAUUGGAAAAGCACGUCUAAGUAAGUAGACAGAGGAGAUAGGCAAAUCCGUUUCCUCACUUAAUGUCGAGAUACGAUGGGGAUCGAAAAAUAAGUAGAGAAGCAACUGACUCCACACUGCCAAGAAAAGCCACUAUCGAGUAAAUAACUACCCGUACCGCAAACCGACACAGGUAGGCGAGGAGAGAAUCCUAAGAUGAGCGGAAGAACUAUUGUUAAGGAACUCGGCAAAAUGACCCCGUAACUUCGGGAGAAGGGGAGCCAGAGAAGGAUAGAUUGAACAAUCGAAAGAACAUCUGGCCGCAGUGAAUAGGCCCAAGCGACUGUUUACCAAAAACACAAGUCUCUGCUAAGUCGAAAGACGAAGUAUAGGGGCUGACACCUGCCCGGUGCUGGAAGGUUAAGGGGAAGGCUUAGCGCAAGCGAAGGCUAGAACUUAAGCCCCAGUAAACGGCGGCCGUAACUAUAACGGUCCUAAGGUAGCGAAAUUCCUUGUCGGGUAAGUUCCGACCCGCACGAAAGGUGUAACGAUUUGGGCACUGUCUCAACAAUGGAUCCGGUGAAAUUGUAGUACACGUGAAGAUGCGUGUUACCCGCGACAGGACGGAAAGACCCCGUGGAGCUUUACUGCAGGCUGACAUUGGAUUUCGGCAUUGCAUGUACAGGAUAGGUGGGAGACUAAGAAGCCAGUGCGCCAGUAUUGGUGGAGUCAACCUUGGGAUACCACUCUUGUAAUGCUGAAGUUCUAACCUGAUACCAUGAAACUGGUAUAGGGACACUGUCAGUUGGGCAGUUUGACUGGGGCGGUCGCCUCCUAAAGAGUAACGGAGGCGCUCAAAGGUUUCCUCAGCACGGUCGGAAAUCGUGCGAAGAGUGUAAAGGCAAAAGGAAGCUUAACUGCGACACCAACAAGUGGAGCAGGAACGAAAGUUGGACUUAGUGAUCCGGUGGUUCCGAGUGGAAGGGCCAUCGCUCAACGGAUAAAAGCUACCCCGGGGAUAACAGGCUUAUCUCCCCCAAGAGUCCACAUCGACGGGGAGGUUUGGCACCUCGAUGUCGGCUCGUCUCAUCCUGGGGCUGAAGUAGGUCCCAAGGGUUGGGCUGUUCGCCCAUUAAAGAGGCACGCGAGCUGGGUUCAGAACGUCGUGAGACAGUUCGGUCCCUAUCCGUCGUGGGCGUAGGAAAUUUGAGAGGAGCUGUCCUUAGUACGAGAGGACCGGGAUGGACGAACCGCUGGUGUAUCAGUUGUCUUGCCAAAGGCAUGGCUGAGUAGCUAAGUUCGGACGGGAUAAGUGCUGAAGGCAUCUAAGCACGAAGCCCCCCUCAAGAUAAGAUUUCCCAUCACAUAAGUGAGUAAGACUCCAGGAAGACCACCUGGUAGAUAGGUCUCAGGUGAAAGAGUAGUAAUACUUGAAGCUAAGAGAUACUAAUAAGUCGAGGACUUGACCAA